UCUGAGUAUAAUAAUAAAAUACGGGGAUUAAUGUUGGUGUUUAGUCCCUAUUGUAGAUUUUUGUGUAAAUAUUUUGAAAUAAAUAAAAUUAAGUUGCAAAUAUAUAAUGUUAUGGUGUAACAAUGAAAGUCUAUUUUGCCUGUUUUCAAAAGUCUGACUAUUUUGCCUGUUUUCAAAAUUAUAUCAAUAAAGUUAUCUCAACUCCACCGAUCAAUUAAUCUCCUACGUGUGUUCUCCACUCUACGUGACAUUGGCGGAAUCAACCGUGCUCCUUUGGCACAACUGAAAGCCAUUAAACCAAUCAAUCAAUCAAUCAAAAUACAGGGAACCAAAGAGUAAAAUAACUUUGCAGGGAACUCCAGUGGUGCGUCGGAGCAGUCACACCCUUUUUUUGUUUUCUCUUGCCAUACUUAUGAAUGUAUUAUUUUGCAGCCAAUAAAGACCCAGUUAUAUUUUUUAAGUAGGGACUUCGUCUGAAUAAUAUGAUCAAUUCAGCCUGUAAGUGUCAGCCUUUAAUGUCUUUCUCCAUGAAAGAGAUGACUGCUGGUUGGCAGAUUUGAU
rnacentral:misc_RNA from 1 species